CUGCGUGACGAAGCACGCAAGCCAGGCAACAAUAACGCCUGAGCUCCGAGACAGUCGCCCAACGCCGGUUAAGCCGGCGUUUUUUU
rfam:Escherichia hermannii NBRC 105704 DNA, contig: EH10570401.